CACUUAUAAGACACUUCAUAUAUGGAAAUUCCUAAUAUAAAACAUUUAUUAACUUAAAAAUAUAAAUACAAAUUUGAUAUUUAUUUCAUAAAACAGGAGGGAAAGAGAAUAUAUACAUAGAUGCAGACAAAUUGAUAAAGUUGCAGGGGAGUAGAUAAGAUGAUUUAUGCCUGAUUUAUCUUCUCUGUGAACUCUAAAUUAAAGUUAUCAGUAGAGAGAAGGGGAUGCUGGGGAUGUGGGGAGAAAGGAGGACAUGAAGGGUGGGGUGUGAAGGAGGCAGCGGGUUCAUGGAUUCAGCUAUAGGCCUGGAGAAUUGCCAGAAUGUGCAUUCUAGAGUAAAGGAGCCAAAGGACAGGAGAGAGUUGUCAGAGAUUAGAUGACUGGAACAGAUUUCUGAGGAGCUAUAGUUAUUGCAAAUGGCAAAAUUUAGUAUAGGACCAUGUGAGUGUGAGAUGAAAUGCGGUCAAGCAAAAGACUGCUGGAAGAGAGAAGCCAAAGAGAUGGAAAUAGUGAGAUAAUGGCUGAAGUCAUCAAAGAAGAGGAGAAGGACUGGCAGUUCAGUCUAUGAAAGCACAAGAGGUCUGGAGGAGGGAAAGUCUGAUACAAAGGAGAGAGGCAAGAUAAAAUCAAAGAGGUAAGGGUGAGCGGGGUGGGGGAACUUGUCCAGCCCCAUCCCUGAGGCCGUGGUGAGUGGGCCUUGGGAAAACACAAGUUCCACUUGAGAAGGUCUGCAGGGGAAUCUGUCCUCAGAGGACAGUCGUAGAGAAAUCAGGUGCAGGGAGAGGGAGGCUUAGAGAAGAGGUCACAGGUGGAGGGAUGAGAUGACCAACCCGGGUUUCAAGGGUCUGCUGAUGGACUUGUAUGGAGGGGGAGUUUGAGGGACAGCUCCAGGCUUGAUAUGCAGAGUAUGCCGGGCAGUGUAAGGGUGAUGUGGAAGACUUGGAUUUCAAUGGUGACUGGGGUGACAGGAUUGUCCUAAGGUCAAAGCACUUAGCUAUUUAAAAACCUGGGCAGACUGGCCUUGUCUAUUCCUGGAGGUCUCCUUAUCUUAUGGCACCAUGGCAUGGGGUCUGAUUUCUCUCCCAGCUGCUGUCAGAAACAGCUCAUGGGGCCAGUUCAGUUACGGUUCUGGUCCAGUGUGGUGGGACAUGCCUCCCAUAUUUGUUACACUUGUGCAAACGAGGGCCUUCCCUCUCAAAUGUCUCUACUGUGGUCAAUCACCUGACCAUCACCUGUGAUCCAUCCACCUCAGGCCUUUCAAGAUGGAGCUUAAGCAGCCUCAUGCUUUUGACAGCUAAUUUGUGAUAGUAUUCUUAAAAAUUUAUUUGUUUGGGUUCAAUGCAAUUGAAAAAUGUGAGAGGCCUGAUAUCUAGAGUUUUACUUUUUACUCAACUCUCCUGCUAUUAGUGUUUUUAAAAUUUUGAACAGUGGAUUAAUUAUAGAAAUGAAGGGGUUUUAUUUGCCAAGUUUUUAAAGUCUAAUAUUUGCUGAUGGCUCAGGUCCAUUGGGAAGUCCACAACUAGGACAUGUUUUAUGGAAUGCAUGACAUUACCUCCACAAUUCUGGUGAUAGAUGCCAGGUUUCUCCGGACUUGAAAGAGGCGUGUAGGGGGAGCAGGUGCCUGACCUCCUUUCUUUGAUGUUCCAUUCUUGUAAAUAAUGAGCGGUUUGUCUUUGAACAAACUCAGCAGGUGAAUAGGCUCUUUGCCUUGGGAGACUCGGAUCUGAUGGGGGAGAAGGGGAAUAAAAGAAAUAUAAUUAAGAGUACCGUGAAAGAAGGUUUUAGUUCCAAGUGUGUUCUUAUGUUCUCUUUUUGAAAAUAAAACAAAAAAUAAAAAGUCAAGAGCAGGAGAAAUGAUGAUUAACAGAAAAUAUAGGUUAAUGAAAAUCAGUUUUCCUUGGUGACUUAAGAAUCUUUUGUUUUUGCAGGCACGGUGUCCCUGAGUAGUUUCUUGUCAGGGGAAACAUCACCAUGCUCCAAUACUUUCUGUUUUUGAAAAGUAUGAAGAUUUAAGUUUGUUUGUUACAUCUCCGAAAGAGACAAGGAUUCAACUGGCUAACAAUUCAUGGAAAUUCAUAAUCGAGUGUAUCAAAUAUAGUACUAUGAAAUAUGAAAUAUGUAAGACAAUGCAUAUCUUCAAAGUUUUUUGUAAUAGUUUGUUUCUGAGGAUUAGGACAUGAACACUUUGGGGGAUUAUUCUGCCUACCGUAUCUGUUGAACAACAGCUGGAAACAAUAAUACAGAUAGGAGACUAUUAUUUUCCCAGGCAAGACUUGGUAGACUAUGACCAGAUACUGAAGAUGCUACAACACACUGAAUGUUUGAGUCCGUCCACGAUUUAUGUUGAAAUCCUAACCUCCAGUGUGACGGUAUUAGGAGGUGGGACCUUUGGGAGGUACUUAGGUCAUGAGGCCAGAACCCUCAUGAAUGAAAUUAGUGCCUUUAUAAUCAGAAAGCUCUCUAGCUCCUUUUUCACCACGUGAGGAUGCAGCAAAAAGUCUACCGGGAAGUGGAUCCUCCACCAAACACUGAGCCCAUCAAAACCUUCAACGUAGACUCCCCAGCCUCCAGAAUGCCCCGUGGUCCAAAAUAAAGCAUUCUUCAGAAAGCAGCAUUGCCAUCGAGAAGGGGUUUUCUUCUGCCACCACAGUCACCCUCAUGGAGCCACUUGCAUCUGAAACCUAAUAUAAAAACCACGACCUCCAUGUUUUCAUUUGGGAAUGAUGAGGAUGUUCUAUAAUUAGAUUAUGGUAACGGUUGUACAACUCGGUAAAUGUAAUAAAAUAAAAAGCAUUGAACUGUA